CUGGAAAGCUAGAAAUGACUGCUAUUUCAAUGAUUCAAGUCCCCAACCUCAGCUCAUAGUAAGGAAAGCAGUGGUGGCUUUCAUAGAAUGCAGAGGUAAUUUGGUAGAUGGUUUGCAAUGUGUGAAGACUUGCACUUCACUCUCUGAUAGCAGAAGCUUACGCUUGCGAAGCUGUAGUUCAUUUGACCAUUAAUCUGAGAGUCCAAAGAGUUUGAUACCUGGCUAAUUCACUUAUCCUUUUUCAAGUUCUGGGAUAAGAUUUCAUAGGAGGACAUGGGGUGUGGGAGAUAUAAGCAGUAAUAGAUUCCAUCUCUGUAUUCACUGAGCAUCUUCUUUUUCUUUUCUCCAUUUCUGUGGCGUCAGGAAUCCUUUGCUGCUUUGUUACCUGCAUUUGACAGGAUCAUAUUUCCAUAUUGAACCAAGAAAAUGGCUCAAGGAAGCAAAAAUGGAUGCACCCAAGAGGGAUAAGAUGAUGUGACUUGAAUUUUGGAUAUAUUUUUUCAUGGAUUCAAAUUAU
rnacentral:misc_RNA from 1 species